AAAUGAAGAUGAACGGCUACCACAGGCAGCAGCACUGAUAACCUCCUUCUGUUCUCAGUAGUAUCCAGAUCUGUUUUCUUCAUGCACAAAUCUCAGAAUUCCUCUUUUGGAGAAUCAAAGAUGACUUGAGUGGAUUGAGACCCCACGUGUCACCUGAGAUGGACCCUUUCUAGGUCAAGAGACUGCCAUCCUGGGGCAUAGUCUCAAUCGCAAGGUAAAAGUGGACAGGUUUCAACUCUUUGGCAUGUACAGGAUCUCUUGGAGUUGUCUAGAGGAGGAAAAGAAAUCUCAUGCUCAGAUUUCCAGUGAAAAUUCUUCUG